rnacentral:rRNA from 1 species
GUUAAAAACCUAGCCCAACCACGUCUAAUGAACCCCUUACACCUCAUUUAUAAAAUAAAACAUUUUAUAACUCUAGUAAAGGCGAUAAAAAAAGUAAUAGGAGCAAUAUAGAAAGUACCGCAAGGGAAAGGGUGAAAUAAAAUUAAAUAAGCACUAAACACAAAAUAGUAGAGACUAAAUCUCGUACCUUUUGCAUCAUGGUUCAACAAGUCUAAUCAAGCAUAAAGACUUUUAGUUUGACUCCCCGAAACUAAGUGAGCUACUUCAGGGCAGCUUAUUGAGCCAACCCGUCUCUGUUGCAAAAGAGUGGGAAGACCCUAAAGUAGAAGUGACAGACCUAACGAACUUAGUGAUAGCUGGUUAUUCAAGAAAAGGAUCUUAGUCCAGCCUAAAGUUUAUCUACUGGAUCAAAUAGAACACAACUUUGACUUUAGAGUAAUUCAAAUAAGGUACAGCCUAUUUGAAGCAGGAUACAACCUAAACUAAUGGGUUACCCCCCCCGAAACUCAUAGCUAAGUGGGCCUAAAAGCAGCCACCUUUAAAAUAACGUCAAAACUUCACUAUUAACUUACUUAAUUCCACAAAAUAACUUGAACCCUUUAAUUCUAUUGAAUAAUUCUAUACCUAUAUAGAACAUAUAAUGUUUAAACUAGUAACAAGAAGAAGACCUUCUCCUAAAUGCGAGCGUACAUCAGUAAGGACAAACCACUGAUAAUUAACACACAUAAAAUUAUAUUAGUAACCUCACAAGAAAAACCUGAUAAAUCACAUGUUAACCUAACACAAGAGCAUUACAAGAAAGAUUAAAAGAAAAAGAAGGAACUCGGCAAAUAUUAGCCCCGCCUGUUUACCAAAAACAUCGCCUCUUGAGAUAAAUAUAGGAGGUCCAGCCUGCCCAGUGACUUUGUUCAACGGCCGCGGUAUCCUAACCGUGCAAAGGUAGCGUAAUCACUUGUCCUUUAAAUGUGGACCUGUAUGAACGGCAUCACGAGGGUUAUACUGUCUCCUUUUUCUAAUCAGUGAAACUAAUCCCCCCGUGAAGAAGCGGGGAUAAGAAUAUAAGACGAGAAGACCCUAUGGAGCUUUAAACCCAGUAACAAGUGCUGUAACAUUUAACUUUCAGAACACAAACUUCUAUCUUAGCACUAUGAUUACUAGUUUUAGGUUGGGGUGACCGCGGAGUAAAAACUAACCUCCACGUUGUACGAGAAAUAUCUCUGAGCCAAGAACCACAAUUCUAAGCACCAAAAAACUGACAUUUAUUGACCCAAUAACUUGAUCAACGAACCAAGUUACCCUAGGGAUAACAGCGCAAUCCACUUCAAGAGUCCCUAUCAACAAGUGGGUUUACGACCUCGAUGUUGGAUCAGGAUGCCCCAGUGGUGCAGCCGCUACUAACGGUUCGUUUGUUCAACGAUUAAAACCCU